GGGUUGUGAGGUUAAGCGACUAAGCGUACACGGUGGAUGCCCUGGCAGUCAGAGGCGAUGAAGGGCGUGCUAAUCUGCGAUAAGCGCCGGUAAGGUGAUAUGAACCGUUAUAACCGGCGAUACCCGAAUGGGGAAACCCAGUGUGACUCAUCACACUAUCAUUAACUGAAUCCAUAGGUUAAUGAGGCGAACCGGGGGAACUGAAACAUCUAAGUACCCCGAGGAAAAGAAAUCAACCGAGAUUCCCCCAGUAGCGGCGAGCGAACGGGGAGGAGCCCAGAGCCUGAAUCAGCAUGUGUGUUAGUGGAAGCGUCUGGAAAGGCGCGCGAUACAGGGUGACAGCCCCGUACACAAAAGCGCAUAUGCUGUGAGCUCGAUGAGUAGGGCGGGACACGUGGUAUCCUGUCUGAAUAUGGGGGGACCAUCCUCCAAGGCUAAAUACUCCUGACUGACCGAUAGUGAACCAGUACCGUGAGGGAAAGGCGAAAAGAACCCCGGCGAGGGGAGUGAAAAAGAACCUGAAACCGUGUACGUACAAGCAGUGGGAGCACAGGUUUACC
rnacentral:rRNA from 2 species